AACUGACCCCCAGAACCCCAAAAUCUGGGAAUUCUGACCCCCGGACCCCCAAAAUCUGGGAAUUCUGCUCCCACAGAGCCCCCCGCAGCCCCCCCGGAGCAGCCCCUGACCAUCUACGCCGAGGUGGGAGAGAGGAAACCCCGCCAGGACCCCGUGAGUGCCGGGAAUGUCCCUUCCCACCCAAAAUCCGGGAAUUCCGGCCUUGGGAAAUUGGAGCUCCGAGCUGGGACUGACCCCUGGUCACUCCUUGUCCGGCCAUCCCUCGGACACCCCAAACCGCGGGGGAAUUCCUUCCGCUUUGGGAAAAUCGGGAUUUCGAUCCUUUUUGAACAUUCCCAGAUUUUUUUUUUUAAUUUUUUUUCCCUCUUUUUUUGUGUUUUCCCAGGCCGGGAGCAGCGAGGCCACCGUCUACGCCCUGGUCACUCCCAGGACACUGGAGCAUCCCAGGCAGCAGGAAGAAGCCGGGAAUUUCACCGUCUACUCCACGGUCCAGUUUGGACGGAGGGUGAGGAUCACCCGGAGCGACGCCGAGGUUUAGGAAUCCCAAAUUCCCAGAGUUUCAGGCAUCCCAAAUUGCCAAUUUUUAGGAAUAUCAAAUCCCCGAUUUUUAGGGACACCAAAUCCCCGAUUUUUAGGGAUACCAAAAUAUUCCCAAUAUAAAAUUUCCCAAUUUUUAGGGAUACCAAAUCCCCAAAUUUUUAGGAAUAUCAAAUUCUCAAAGUUUUAGGCAUCCCAAAUUCCCAAUUUUUAGGAAUAUCAAAUCCCCGAUUUUUAGGAAUCCCAAAUUCCCAAUUUUUAGGAAUAUCAAAUUCCCGAUUUUUAGGGAUACCAAAAUAUUCCCAAUACAAAAAAUUCCCAAUUUUUAGGAAUAUCAAAUCCCCAAUUUUUAGGGAUACCAAAUUCCCAAUUUUUUAGGAAUCCCAAUUUCCCGAUUUUUAGGAAUACCAAAUUCCCCAAGUUUUAGGAAUCCCAAAUCCCCAAUUUUUAGGGAUACCAAAAUAUUCCCAAUACCAAAAAUUCCCAAUUUUUAGGAAUAUCAAAUUCCCAAAGUUUUAGGAAUAUCAAAUCCCCAAAUCCCCAAAUUUUUAGGGAUAUCAAAUCCCCGAUUUUUAGGGACACCAAAAUAUUCCCAAUACAAAAAUUCCCAAUUUUCAGGGAUACCAAAUCCCCGAUUUUUAGGAAUCCCAAAUCCCUAAUUUUUAGGGAUACCGAAUUCCCAAAGUUUUAGGCAUCCCAAAUUGCCAAUUUUUAGGAAUACCAAAUUCUCAAUUUUUAGGAACCCCAAAUCCCCGAUUUUUAGGGACACCAAAAUAUUCCCAAUACCAAAAAUUCCCAAUUUUUAGGGAUACCAAAUUCCCAAAGUUUUAGGAAUAUCAAAUCCCCGAUUUUUAGGGAUACAAAAUUCCCAAAGUUUUCGGAAUCCCAAAUCCCCAAUUUUUAGGGAUAUCAAAUCCCCGAUUUUUAGGGAUACCAAAAUAUUCCAAAUACAAAAAUUCCCAAUUUUAAGGAACACCAAAUCCCUGAUUUUUAGGGAUACCAAACUCCUGAUUUUUAGGAAUCCCAAAUCCCCAAAUUUUUUAGGAAUAUCAAACUCCCGAUUUUUAGAAAUACCAAAUCCCCAAAUUUUUUAGGAAUCCCCAAAUCCCCAAUUUUUAGAAAUCCCAAAUUCCCAGAUUUUCAGGAAUCCCAAAUCCCCAAAUUUUUUAGGAAUAUCAAACUCCCGAUUUUUAGGAAUACCAAAAUCCCGAUUUUUAGAAUACCAAAUCCCCAAUUUUUAGGAAUACCAAAUUCCCAAUUUUUAGGAAUACCAAACUCCCGAUUUUUAGGAAUCCCAAAUCCCCAAAUUUUUUAGGAAUAUCAAACUCCCGAUUUUCAGGAAUUCCCAAAUCCCCCCCCAAAAAUUUUGGGAUCGCCACCCCGCUUUUCCCACCCGGAAUUUUCCUUUUCCCUCCCCUUUUUUCCCCCCACAGCCUUCCUCCACCAAGAGGAAGAGGCUGGACCGAGCUUUGGUCUCCACCGCCUACUUGGAGGUAACGGGAAAAUCCAUCGGGAAUUUCAUUUGGGAUCCAAAAAAAAUUCCCAAAAAAAAUUCCUAAAUCCCACCCAUUUUCCUCGCAGGAUAACGGGAUUUUCAGGCCCUCGGGUUCCUCCAAUCCCACCGGCCCCAAAACCCCGGAAUUCCCGUCCCUGUGGAAUUCUUCUCCCGGAAAAUCCGGCGGCCGCCAGAUGGAAUAGGGAAAAAUCCAGAAAUCCGGGGUUUUUCACCCAAGAUUCGACCUCCGGAGCGAAGAUUUGGGGGUGGGGAAGUGUGGAUGGGGAUGGAUUUGGGAUUGGACAGAUGGGGAAUUCUCUGGGGGUUUUUGUUUUUUUUUAGGGUUUGGAAAAUUUGGGGAUUUUCUUUUUUUUUUCCUUUUUUUUUUUGGUGCGAAUACAGAUGAAUUCACCCCAAAAUUCCCCGCUGAAGGAAGAAUUUUCCCUAAAAUCCCCCCCCGAAAAUCCACAAUAAAGGAGAAUAAUUUUCCCUAAAAUCCA
rnacentral:lncRNA from 1 species